rnacentral:lncRNA from 1 species
GACGACGAGCCUCGUGACGUUGACCCGGGCGCUGGUGGCGUUGUUGAAGAGGUAAACCCCAGCGUUGGCAUAGAUGGCCUCCGUUGGGUGCACCCGUGACGGUGCCAUCAACCUCCCGCCCAUUGCAAAGCUCUCAACAAUGGAAUAGUCCACUAGCACCCUCACUGAAAACUCCUCGCCAUCGAGCACCGGGACAAUAUUGCCUACGACCCUCUUGACAAUAUCGUUGGCAUGAGAUGAGCACGUCUCGUCAUGACAGAAGUGUGUGCGCAGGCCGCUAUUGAGGCCUCUGGCGACGUAGAAGUAGACGCCGGUCCGCUCCAUGUCGCUACUGUGGCGCCUGGCAUCAGCAAGCACAAGGAGGCCGAAGGGACCGAGUGUGCCCCGUCAAGUCGUGCCACCGCUGGUGCUGCAGUUGUAGCCAACAUCCGCCUGCUUGACAGUGACGACGUCGAGCGGGUCAAGAUGAAAUGAGGCGUCAAUGUCGAGCUGGGUGGCACGAUGAAGGCUGAGUGGGAAUACGGAGCCAUGGUCGACGGUAUGGACCAUGAAUCUAUGAUCAGACUCGAUUUUAAUCCUGCAAAUUCUCUCACCCAUCCUUGGAAUCCAAACUUCUGGCCGUGGCUCUCUCCACUUGUCACUCCAUAUGCUCCAUGCCAUGUCAGAGGUCCUUUCUUUUUUUGCGGUGGGCUAACCAACAUUGUGUGCUUGCGCAACAUGACAUGUGGCAACAGUUAGUACAAAUAGCUAUGAUUUGGAAGUCACGUGAUGAGUCUAUCGGCCAUAGUUACCUACGGCCGCAACGAUGUCAGCCAUAAAAAUGAACACACGGGCACACUGUAACCAUGAAGUUCCGAGCUUGACGCUGACAAGGCGGCGUGUAACAAGUGGCAGCAUAUUAUUGCAGUCGGUAAUAAUCUCCAGUAACUAAUAUGGCACCUUCAAGACAUUCAAGCUAUCCACCACUCGAACGGUUGACAUAGCAAACUCUACUGGUUUGCGGCCACCAUACCUUUUGACCGCACCCAUGCUCAUUUUCUGAUGAUGCCCACUUACCCUCCACAUAUCAAUGCAUAUUGAUGAUUGGAUCAAUAUGUAUGCGGUGUGCAUUUAGCAAGAUAACUCGAGAAUGUUAAGAAUAAAGUAUGCAUACACUUGGCAUGCACACAUGGGUGUGCGUGGUUGUUACCUUGUUGACUCUCAGAUUGUAUCUAUUUGUCUUCUUCAAUGACAAUCUCCUUGGACCAAACUUGCAAGCAACCAAUGCCAGCUACAAUAAUGCAUUGUUCGACGUGGCAAUGAUUCAGUUUUGUUUGUGGACAACAAUAGCAAGGCAGGAACCACACAAACCGGUUGUGCUCACGUGUCUUUUUGUUUUUUGCUGAUUAAUAAGAUUUCACAAAUUACUUACUUCCGAUAAACUAAAAUGUAAUAGACACUACAAAGGUUUGCAUGUGAACUACUAGUUGUAUACCCCAUGUCAAAAGGCAACAAAAUAAGAACUAUCUAUCAGUCAAACUAAACCCAUUGUGAAUAUUGAUUUCACAAUGAUUUUUCUAGAAGAAUUACUUAGCAUUAGGCGCUACAUUAUUUUUCCUUUCUAGAACCGUGAGCACACAAGAAUAAAGAGUGAAUCCGAUGGUUCUCUCGACACCAACCAAACAUGCAUGCAUCAAGGCAAGAAGAAACCCAUGGCACAUGUUAGUAUUGGCAGAGACCACUAAUUGCGGCCGUCAGGUGAGUGGUGGAGAAGAUCCAGAAUCUUAUCAUCAGCAUCCUUGGUGGCCUCACGGUCUCACUGAUUUGGAGUACACAUGCCAUUGCCAGCUCAAAUCUUCCACUCCAAUCUUCCAUUGUCUAUCCAUCUAAUAUAAUCAAGAUCCCUGGGGUUGGGCUUGGCAUCACUAAGACUUGUCCAUUUGUGUAUGUAGUACCUCCCGGCCCUCCAAUAAUUCUCAUUUGUUUACACAAUAAUUCCCGCUUGUUUGUUUACCCAAUAAUUCCCGUUAGGGUAUGCAGGAGAUGUGUUUGUAUGUGACAAGUUGUUCACCGAAUCACCAAUAGUGCACUUUUUUAAACUAUAGUUAACAUACGAGCUGACCUUGUGCCUAGCCUCGAGUGCAAAAGCAAUCAUGUACAGAUUGAUCAUCGAUCGUCGCUUGAAACAACAAGACCACAUGCACGCAAAACCUUUUGUAAUGAAUUAUGAAUAGUGUUGACAACAAGUCCACAAACAUUGUUAUUCAAAGUACAGAACAAAGACAACCUUGAACAAAUAAAGCGAGGACGGUCGUAUUGGCUGAACUGUGUUGUGGCCGUGGUGGUAAUCAGCAGUGUAGGUGUCAUGAAGGUCCUGAGAUUGAAAAUCUCCAACUCAGAUGUGGUUGUUCCUUGUUGUAACACCGUGGUAGGAUGUUCUUCCUCCAUUUAUCGGGCAUAAAUAUACUUAUUAUUUUCUUAAAAGAAUUUGAAUUCAAAAUUUGUAUAAAGUUAUCUUGGUGGCCAUUGGUAGAAUGCAGAAAUGAGAAAAAAAAACUUGGUGGAGAUCGAUCAGACAACGCAGAAAAGUUGCAACGAACAAAUGAGAGCGACCUUCCUUGGUCUAAAAACAGUACAUACAAUGUGCUAUCUAUCAUAUUUUUGCUAAACAAAAAUCAUAUUUGCAUUUUGUUUUUACAGUGAGGCCAUGUAGGCCUGAUUGUAGGAGGAGUCCAUCUCAUGGACGACGAGCCUCGUGACGUUGACCCGGGCGCUGGUGGCGUUGUUGAAGAGGUAGACCCCAGCGUUGGCAUAGAUGGCCUCCGUUGGGUACACCCGUGACGUCGCCGUCAACCUCCCGCCCAUUGCAAAGCUCUCAACAAUGGAAUGGUCCACUAGCACCCUCACCGAAAACUCCUCGCCGUCGAGCACGGGGACAAUAUUGCCUACGACCCUCUUGACAAUAUCGUUGGCAUGAGAUGAGCGCGUCUCGUCAUGGCAGAAGUGUGUGCGCAGGCCGCCGUCGAGGCCUCUGGCGACGUAGAAGUAGACGCCGGUCCGCUCCAUGUCGCCACCGUGGCGCCUGGCAUCAGCAAGCACAAGGAGGCCGAAGGGACCGAGUGUGCCACGUCCAGUCGUGCCACCGCUGGUGCUGCAGUUGUAGCCAACAUCUGCCUCCUUGGCAGCGGCGACGUCGACCGGGUCAAGACGAAAUGAGGCCUCGAUGUCGAGCUGGGUGGCACGGUGAAGGUUGAGUGGGAAUACGGAGCCAUGGUCGACGGUAACGCCUCCAAGGUUGGUGGAGUUGGUCCGGAGCGUCUCCAC